GGAAUCUUCCGCAAUGGACGAAAGUCUGACGGAGCAACGCCGCGUGAGUGAUGAAGGUCUUCGGAUCGUAAAACUCAGUUGUUAGGGAAGAACAAGUAUCGUUCGAAUAGGGCGGUACCUUGACGGUACCUAACCAGAAAGCCACGGCUAACUACGUGCCAGCAGCCGCGGUAAUACGUAGGUGGCAAGCGUUAUCCGGAAUUAUUGGGCGUAAAGCGCGCGCAGGCGGUUUCUUAAGUCUGAUGUGAAAGCCCACGGCUCAACCGUGGAGGGUCAUUGGAAACUGGGAAGCUUGAGUGCAGAAGAGGAGAGUGGAAUUCCAUGUGUAGCGGUGAAAUGCGUAGAGAUAUGGAGGAACACCAGUGGCGAAGGCGACUCUCUGGUCUGCAACUGACGCUGAGGCGCGAAAGCGUGGGGAGCGAACA
rnacentral:rRNA from 1 species